GUGAACUUAAGAGCAAGGUGACAUAAGAUUUUGAAACUGGUACCAUACAUGUGUCUACCAGGAGGCUGGGGGGUAGCACUGGUGGUUGCCAGUAUAUUUAUAAAUAAGUGUAAAGAAAAGAUUUUCUUUUGCUUUUUGCUGCAAAAUGUUAGUAAAUAAGUUAUUCAUUAGCUAUGACUUUUGGUAUUUAACUCCAUCUUAAGAAUACAUUUUUGCCUGGUCAAAUGUGUGUAGUUAAUCAAAGGAUAUUUGGUAUAUUUCAUAUGUGAAAACAUUUCUUCUCAUCAGCUUUUUUUUUGCUCUCUCAUUAUCCUUAGUGGUUCUGUGCAGAACAGAGACGCUAACCAGUCGAACUCCCUCCUUUCCACUUUUCGUCAUCUCCUGACCUUAGUCACUACAGGAACAAACAUGAAGUCAUUUGGUCAACUCCCCAUGGAUAUUUCACAAAAAAUGACUAACCAGAUGUGGAAUUGCAGCAAUCUUCCAGGCAUGAUUGAGCUGAUGAGAAACUAUUCUGUUGGUAUACCAAAGGAGGAUUCUGGAUGUUACAUGCAAGCGUUUGCAGCCCCUCUUUCCUGGGCAACUUUGACCACACAGGAUAAAAACAGCAUGGACUCAAAUGACUACAGAAAACUGAUGUGGGCUGUUACACCUAUGGCAGGACUUGUGCCCUUUCUCAAAAAACAACUUCUCAUGAACGUAGACAUCCCAAAGCUAAAAAACACGAUGGACAUAAUGAAGGAUAUGCAUGAUCGCAUACCUCCUGGUCAAAGGACUCGUGUGGCUCAAUGGGCAAAGGAUCAGAUCACCCAAAACUACUUCAGCUGUACAAUAAAGCCAUGGAUGUACACAGUAUUAAAGCGUGUGGAUAUCUGCGCCCCUUCACUGAAAUGGCUGAAUUUGGAAGCACUGACUAUUAUGGGACCCUACCUGUCCUAUUUACCACCAAAUGAUGUUGAUUCUUCUUCUAAAGUAGAGCUAUGUGAGUUUUUCUCUU
rnacentral:lncRNA from 1 species